rnacentral:rRNA from 1 species
AGUAGCUUGCUACUUNACCUAGCGGCGGACGGGUGAGUAAUGCUUAGGAAUCUGCCUAUUAGUGGGGGACAACAUCUCGAAAGGGAUGCUAAUACCGCAUACGUCCUACGGGAGAAAGCAGGGGACCUUCGGGCCUUGCGCUAAUAGAUGAGCCUAAGUCGGAUUAGCUAGUUGGUGGGGUAAAGGCCUACCAAGGCGACGAUCUGUAGCGGGUCUGAGAGGAUGAUCCGCCACACUGGGACUGAGACACGGCCCAGACUCCUACGGGAGGCAGCAGUGGGGAAUAUUGGACAAUGGGGGGAACCCUGAUCCAGCCAUGCCGCGUGUGUGAAGAAGGCCUUUUGGUUGUAAAGCACUUUAAGCGAGGAGGAGGCUACCGAGAUUAAUACUCUUGGAUAGUGGACGUUACUCGCAGAAUAAGCACCGGCUAACUCUGUGCCAGCAGCCGCGGUAAUACAGAGGGUGCAAGCGUUAAUCGGAUUUACUGGGCGUAAAGCGCGCGUAGGUGGCCAAUUAAGUCAAAUGUGAAAUCCCCGAGCUUAACUUGGGAAUUGCAUUCGAUACUGGUUGGCUAGAGUAUGGGAGAGGAUGGUAGAAUUCCAGGUGUAGCGGUGAAAUGCGUAGAGAUCUGGAGGAAUACCGAUGGCGAAGGCAGCCAUCUGGCCUAAUACUGACACUGAGGUGCGAAAGCAUGGGGAGCAAACAGGAUUAGAUACCCUGGUAGUCCAUGCCGUAAACGAUGUCUACUAGCCGUUGGGGCCUUUGAGGCUUUAGUGGCGCAGCUAACGCGAUAAGUAGACCGCCUGGGGAGUACGGUCGCAAGACUAAAACUCAAAUGAAUUGACGGGGGCCCGCACAAGCGGUGGAGCAUGUGGUUUAAUUCGAUGCAACGCGAAGAACCUUACCUGGUCUUGACAUAGUAAGAACUUUCCAGAGAUGGAUUGGUGCCUUCGGGAACUUACAUACAGGUGCUGCAUGGCUGUCGUCAGCUCGUG